rnacentral:rRNA from 1 species
GUCUACAGCCACGCUCUCCUGAAUAAGCCUGAUCCCUUCUGAUCUCGGAAGCUAAGCAGGGUUGAGCCUGGUUAGUACUUGGAUGGGAGACCACCUAGGAAGCUCAGGUGCUGUAGGCA